GAUGAAGAACGUAGCGAAAUGCGAUACUUGGUGUGAAUUGCAGAAUCCCGUGAACCAUCGAGUCUUUGAACGCAAGUUGCGCCUCAAGCCAUUAGGUCGAGGGCACGUCUGCCUGGGCGUCACAUAUCGUUGCCUGAUGCCAGUUUCCUCGUGAUGGGUGACUGUGCAGGGCGAAUGAUGGCUUCCCGUGAGCAUUGUUGCCUCAUGGUUGGUUGAAAAUUGAGUCCUUGGUAGGGAGCGCCGUGAUAGAUGGUGGUUGAGUGACGAACGAGACCCAAUCAUGUGAGACCCCUACCGAAUUUGGCCUUCAUGACCCACAUGCGUCUUUGGAACGCUCAUGACGAGACCUCAGGUCAGGCGGGGCUACCCGCUGAGUUUAAGCAUAUCAAUAAGCGGAGGA
rnacentral:misc_RNA from 1 species